GGACAUUUAGCUAAGGGGUACAGCAUUCGGCUCAUAACCGAAAGAUCCGGGGUUCGAAUCCCUGAAUGUCCA
rnacentral:tRNA from 1 species